GCAAGGCAGUGAGGGGAGUGGACGGGUUAAUGUUGCGUAAAAUUAAUUUUAUGCAUCCAUUUAAGUCACUAUUGCCACCGGAUUAAUUUUAUAUACGUAUCUGAAUUAACGGAAAUAUUUCAGUAAGUCCCUUCAUACUACUGCGCAAUGCAGACAAUUCAUAAAAGGCAACGUACUCCUUCCUUGCGUUCCUGACGGGGAGGUUAACAUUUCGCAUAUGAAGGUCGUAUUUACUUCUUUGGGUUUGAAUUGUGCACAUCUGCAUUUCUUUGAAAAUUUUCCUAGUUUUCCACCACAAAUUAUGAUAAGCAAUAUGCAUUCCGUAGCAAGCGGAAGUAUAUUUCCGGAAUUAACCUUUUCACCCGAUUCCGUUUCGUGUUUCUGCUAACAUAUUAUUUCCUAUUAAGGAAAUCAACCUGUUAUUCAUCAGCUUUUCUAAGAUCUUUGAUAAAGUACAUGAAAGGAAAACGUGUAAAAUCAGAGAUGUCCCUGUGCGUAAUUAAUUACCAGGAGGCCAUGAAGAUGUAUGGGGGAGUGGAGGUAAUACUCUGUGGGAUUGUGGAUGUUGCCACAAAUCCAUUAUUCUCGACCUCUUCUCUAGAUUGAGUGCUAGAGAAAAUAAUGACAUAUUAAGCAGUACCAGCUUUCCUGAUGUAAUUGCAUUAAUAAGGUGAGAAUUUUAUUAUUCUGAGCCUCAGUACUUGAAUACUAGUUUGAGAAUAGAGGAAGUGAAUUAGACAACAGUGCAGUCAAUAUAAGGUUUGAGCUGCUGCUCUUACUUAUCAGGACAUCAUGUUCUGACGGUGAUGUCAUGACUGUGUGCAAUGCAUCCCCACUACUACUUA